GGAUCAAUCAGCAGUGAUGAGCAGCAGGUGAGCAGUGCGUGGGUGUGGGGAUCAGUAGGAAACUGGGGCCCCGAUGCCGCCCUGACGGAGGAGGUGAAAAACAGCACACCAGAGCAAGCAACAGAGGACCAUGAGACUUUCACUAGACCUCCCCAUGCUGGAGACGAGCAGCUUUUAAUGCGGGCUCCAGCUUUGGUUACCUUGGUGUACAUCUUUCUGAGGACCUUACAUAGAGCCACAACACUGGACCCCUGGUUAAGACGGUACUGUCUCAGGAGGCUGAUGCACACCAGAUGGUUGGUGGAGAGGAUCCUGUCCUGUCUGGCAUGGUAGCUACUAUGUGGUAGAGAAGAAGGCUAAGUUGAGGGUGGUGACAGCAACAUGAAGGACGUUGGCAGCAGCCUCCCCACCAUCACAGACAUCUACAGCAGCUUCCUGUAUCUUGAAAGAUGCUCCUCACCCAGAAUACACACCUGUCCCCUCCCAUCAAGUAGGAGGCUGUGAAGCAUCAGGAGCAAAACUCGGAUUUUUCCUUGUUUUGUUACUCAUGUUAUUUUGUACUUUGUUUUAUUUUAAGCAAACCACCUUUAGUUUAUUUUUAGUUUCUGAGUCCCGUUGUUUGGGUCCUACUCCAGCCUGCAACACAGCCACGCUCACAAAUAU
ensembl:lncRNA